rnacentral:sRNA from 1 species
UGUGUUCCUCCUGGGAGCUUUCUCCCUCCCUCAGGUCUGUGUUGAAACGUCACCUUCUCCCCUAUCUUCCCCCCACCCCGAGGUGCGCACUGACCACCCUGCUGCCACCACGGCGCCGUCUGCACAUGCACACCCUCCCGCUCUCAGUUCUCGCACUGCUGCUUCUGUCCAGAGUCCUUUACCCUUCUGACCGGUUGGGUAGUGUGCUGGUCUUUUCAUGGCUAUUGUGGGUUUUGUGUAUUUCUGCUCAGCUCUGACUCUGUUGUGGCCCAGAUAAUUUGUUUCUUUUGCUUACGGCUGCAUCUCCAGUGCCGGCACACAAUGCACCUGGGUAAUGUUUGUGGAAUGAAUGAAUUGAUGCAGGUCUGAGGUCACCAAGCCUCCUCCUUGCUUGGAGAACUCCUCGCCUCCCUCCAGGAUUCCGGAGCCUGAAUCCCCAGCGAAGCCAAACGUCCCCACAGCCUCCACGGCGCCCCCAGCGGACUCCCGGGACCGACGGAGGUCCUACCAGAUGCCUGUGCGGGAUGAGGAGUCGGAAUCCCAGAGAAAAGCUCGCUCCCGUCUCAUGCGCCAGUCUCGGAGGUCCACACAGGGUGUGACUCUGACAGACCUGAAGGAGGCAGAGAAGGCUGCAGGGAAGGCCCCAGAGUCAGAGAAGCCGGCGCAGAGCCUGGUGAGAGGGGUCAGCGAGGGCGCGUGGGGUGCUGCGGGAUGUCCUGGUUCCCUGACUCGCCUCCCCCUCCCGACAGGACCCUUCCCGAAGGCCCCGCGUCCCUGGAGUGGAGAACUCUGACAGCCCUGCCCAGAGAGCAGAGGCUCCCGACGGGCAGGGUCCAGGACCGCAGGCGGCCAGGGAGCAUCGCAAGGUCGGAAAGGAGUGGAGGGGGCCUGCGGAGGUGAGGG